CAUUUACAGAUAAACCAAGAUAGUUUAUUUAUGUUUCAAAUUCAUUAGAAUAACUCUUCUCUGUCUCCAUCACAGUAUCUUUCAUUUUCUUCUUUAUUUUCUUAUCUAUCUUUAUCAGAGUGUCUUCUAUCUUCUUUACAGAUUUCUUCUCUGUCUCUGAUUCUAUAUUAUAUUUCAACUUCUUUAACUUGAAUAACUUGAAUAGAUUCUUCUCUAUUUUAAUUAUCUCUGAUUUGUCAACUUUGAUUUUGAAUUUGAUUUUGAUUUGAAGUGGCUGAUUUUGUUUAAUACAACUUAGAUUGAAUAAAUCAAC
rnacentral:sRNA from 2 species